UGGUAAGUACCUCACCGCUUCUAACCAGCCUUUUCUUCUUGGCAUGACUGGUCGCAAGGUCCUUCAGACUUUGCCCAGGAGGCUUGAUUCCUCCGUCGACUGGGAACCCAUCAGGGAUGGGACUCAGGUUAAGCUCAAGACCCGGUAUGGAAACUUCUUGAGAGCCAACGGGGGACUCCCGCCUUGGAGAAAUUCGGUGACUC
rnacentral:misc_RNA from 1 species